CUGCGCGUUCGGCCGCGCCACGUGGCCGCUUCCGGAGCCCUCCCGCCUCGGGCCUUGAGUGCGGCCGGCGCAGCGCCCCGUCCCAAUAAAGCCGAAACCCCAAGGAGGAGAGAACUUUGGUGUGGGGACGCGGCGGCGUUGCGCGCGGCUGCUGGGCGGUGUGCGUGCGUGGUUUCGGCGCCCUCGUUCCGGCGCGGGCCGUCACCCGCGCCGCCGCCCCCCGGAGGCCCGGAGCGCCGGGUCGUCGCGAGCCCAGGGGCCCGGCCCAGCGCAUUCCUCCGCUCGCCGCGGCCGGCGGGGGCCGGGAAGGGAGCAGCGCGGGUGGCUUCAAGAACACUGAACCUUUAAUUGGGCUAUAAAUCAGACAGGGGAGUGCGGUGGAGUUUGUGCAGGUGUAAAAACAGAGGGGAAAGCCGGGGCUGAGCAGCCAGAGCGCCCGGGCAGCAUCACGUCCAGGUGGACAGAGGACUGUCAGACAGUGAAGCUUUGGGAUGUGCGCACUGCCUCGCCCACCCCUGCAACGUCCCGUUGCCCGAGCUGUUGGCGACCGUGGGCCCGGCGGUUGCGCAUCGGACGCUUGGCCCUCAGCGAGCGAUGACGGGUCCCUGCGCCCCCUCUCAGACACGGCGCCACCGAGACAAACCACCAGCUCCCGCUUCGUUUCAGGGGCUGACGUUGGGGAAACACUGCUGCGCCCCUGCCCGAAGGAGUUACUUUUGAAGAAGAAAACAAGACCCAAACUUGAUGACUUACCCUCAGUCCCUUGGCAAUAACAAUUUGAAGAAAAGAGGACCGGAGCUGGAUUUGCAUGCAAAUGAGGAGCCCCGGGAGGAGACGUCCUGGCCCAUCAAAGGACACGGUAGCCGGGCGGCCUUUGUUCCAGCACCUGCUCGCCCGCGCGGCCUAGCGGGGCGCGCCCCGCACUCCUAACUCGCGGAGUCCACGGCCCACCGCCCGCUCCUCGCCUGCCCCGCAGCCCUCGCCCAGCGGCCCACGACCCACUCCUCUCACAAACCACACAUCAUCCGACCCGCGACCCUCGCUGCUCCAUUAGCUCCUCCACCCGCAGGCCUGGCCAGAAGCCGACCGAGGAACCCCAAACCAGGAGGAUGAAGGAGCUGAACUCGCAGGACGCAAAACUUCAGACUGAGGCAGGCGGGUCAGGUUUACUUUUUCUCGCGGCUCAGGACUGACGAUACGCUGGCGGGUCUCUCUAGCGCGCGGGUGAAGCAGGGAUCCGAACUCCGGGACCCAAGCGAGGCCAGCGCUGGGUCGCCCGAGUGUCUACUUGCCAUUCCCUUAAAGGCAAUGACAACCUGAGAGGUGGGGCCCGUCCCCGCGCUCUUUUAAAGAUGCGGGAAUCUGAACAGAGAAAGAGGGCUUAGCCGGGAUUUCCUGCUUUCAGAACAUCCAAGCAUCACGCAAAUAACAACACAUACGUGUUUGUUCUUUCGCUCUCUUCAGCAUUACUUUCAGAUCGGAAUUUCAGAUCUAUGCGUUACAAAAGGCUACAAGGCGCGCCAGCAGUACCUGUGCCGUUUGGGUUCCGCCUGCUAAGGCCUCUCCCCCCCGGGGGCGACAGUGACAUCCGGACGUCCUCGGUUACCAAAGUCUCCCUCUCAGACGGGCUAGGAUAAAAGUGACUUUUGCAUGUAAGAUUUUGGUCUAACUAUACUUCAGUUGGUAUCUAUAUAGUUAGUGGUAAGUCUGAGGAUGAGUGUGUAUACUUUAAACUCAUUUACUUUCAAACAUUUCAUAGAGAAAAAAAACCCAACUUAAUUUUGAGGCUGUGAGUCAGUUCUUUUUUUCCUCCCUAAAAAUAAACGAGAGGACAGGGCAUCAAGAAUGAAUAUCACUGCAAAAUACUGGCCUAUAAUUUAGUCUUUGUUAACUUGCUAGGUUGAAGAUCUUCAGAUAUAUAUACCUGACCAGAUAUUUCAAAAAAAAUUAAGAAACGAAUUUUACCUCCUCUGCAACUCGAUAGUAAGCAUUUAAAUUAUGUAUUACACAUGCCUUCGCUUUAUUUGGAGCUCACAAUAACAACUGUAGUCAUCAAAUCUAGAGUGAACAUUUUUUCAAAGAACUAAAAAUUGCCUGCAACAAGUAAAGAAACAUUUUGCAUUUGAAAAAAUAUAUCCAAAUCACCUAAAUUGUAUAAAUAUAAUUAGUUCACUAAACACCUGAUUGAUACGUAUUCAUUUUAAUUCUUUAAAGAGUGCAUUAUCCUAAAAUUGAAGGUUUCUCUUACCCUGUUAUUCAUUUAAACUAGAAUUUUGAAAAGUUUGCCUUUUAGAAUAAAAACUUUUACUGGAGUCCUUUGUGUCAAGAAAACAGUAUCUUUAAAUACCAGGACUUUCAAAUACAAUUUAUUUUGUAUAUUUAAAUAGUUCCUUAUUCAUAACUCUAAAGCUACUUGAUGAUCAUGUCUAUUAAAUUUUUAAAACUAAAAAUUUCCUAUUAUUUGCUUCUAUUACAAUAUAAUACUAUGUUGCAGAGUUUUUACAGAUGUAUACAAUAUUGUGCUCAAAUGUGAGUGGAAAUUACUUGAAAUGAGAAGCUCAAAAAUAAAAUGAAAAGUUCUAUAAAAUUAUCGUAGGGUAACUGUGGCUUUAAUUUUAAAUAGCCUCAAUGCUCUUCAAAAUGGAAUAGAAUGAAUUUGAAAAUGUAUACCAAAGUGACUUAUUUGUAGACAUUUUAAAGUAACUUCUGAUCUCCUGCAAUGACUUUGACUUAGAAAGUAUAAAUGAAAAAUUACAGCACGAUGCUUUUGUUAAAUUCUCUUUGAAAAUAAUAUUUGCCUUUUCUGUAAUGGGUUCCUAUUUAUCUCACAUGGAAACUUUUUUUUAACAGAAAACAAAAUAAACUAAGAAGGGGACGACUGAAGCCAAUUCUUUUGAUGGGUUUUCUUUGAAAAUUAAGCAUUUUAUUUCUGAAAGAGUGUAAAAAUCUUACAUUAGAAUAGUACAAUAAUUGCCAGUAAAAUUUACAAUACUCCUUGUAAAGAAUACGCAGUAAGUACAAAAUAAAAAUUCCGCAUGUCUAUUAUGAUACAAAACACAGGUUAAAGUAAGAAAUUUUGACUUUUUUCCUUGUGUAAACAUGUUAAUAGUUUUUUUUCUUCCUUUUCAUGAAAAAAAUACACCAAAUGUGCUCAAAUAAAAAGUAUUGCUUUGCUGGCAUUCUUCGGGACCUUUACUGUUUCUGUAUUAGUCUUCUUUUGAACAUUAUUGAUUUUUAAAAACUCCUGGACCUGAGAAUCUCUAGACCUCAAAAAGGCUUAGAUUUUUAAAGAUUUCCCAAACGUCAAGGAAGCCCCUUGUGCCGAGACAGGGCGGACCCCACCAGCACCCUCUUCUUCCCCACCGCAGGUCGGGGGGCUGCAGCAUAGGGCGACUUUGCAUAAAUAGAGGGACCCGCAGAGCCUAAAGCGCGCCCAAGUUACCGAACACAGUCUCGUCUGAGAAUCUGAUGCGGCGAAAACCGGGGCGCGCGGUUGGGAGGGGCGGGCAAAACACCAAACCACCAAGAUGAAAAAAGGAGCCGGGAUGCCUACCUUCUCUUUUUCAAGCGCGCUAACAUAGCGUUAUUAACAAUUUGAAAUCCUAGCAGUAAAGUUCUCGACACUGGACAGGGCAGUCCCUUGGUGCAGAGUCCCCAGGGCGGCCGACGAGGAGACGGAGGAGGCGGCGGCGGCCGCGGCAGCCACGAGGGAGCGCGUGAGCGCGGCGGCGGGGCCCACGGCCGCCUGAG